rnacentral:rRNA from 1 species
UUGGUCAUUUAGAGGAAGUAAAAGUCGUAACAAGGUUUCCGUAGGUGAACCUGCGGAAGGAUCAUUACAGAGUUCAUGCCCCUCGGGGUAGACCUCCCACCCUAUGUAUACCUUACCUUUGUUGCUUUGGCGGGCCGCCAUUGGCCACCGGCUCCGGUCGGUGCGCGCCCGCCAGAGAACCCAAACUCUGUUUUAUCAUGUUGUCUGAGCACUAUUUAAUAGUUAAAACUUUCAACAACGGAUCUCUUGGUUCUGGCAUCGAUGAAGAACGCAGCGAAAUGCGAUAAUUAAUGUGAAUUGCAGAAUUUAGUGAAUCAUCGAAUCUUUGAACGCACAUUGCGCCCCUUGGUAUUCCGGGGGGCAUGCCUGUUCGAGCGUCAUUUCAACCCUCAAGCACUGCUUGGUCUUGGGCCACGCCGGCGACGGCGGGUCUUAAACGUAGUGGCGGCACCAUCGGUUCCCUCAGUGUAGUAAUAUCUCUCGCUGUUGGGCCCUGGUGGUCGCUGGCCAGCAACCCUUUAUUUUUUCUGGUUGACCUCGGAUCAGGUAGGGAUACCCGCUGAACUUAAGCAUAUCAAU